AUGAGAUUUGAGAAAAUUGUUGCGGUUGCUUACCAUCUGAAGCGAGAGCGAAGAACGUUAGAGAACAUUGAUUGUAAAGUCGACAGUUCACAGGAGAUAUUGAGACGUAUUGAAGAGCAGCUUCAGCAGUUGCGCUCCGCUCAUCUAGAAAUGAAACAACAGAUUGAUGAGCAAAGAAGAGCACCAGAGGCUCUGGCUUUCCGUCAUGAACCACGUCUGUAACCAAGAGGAGGGUUGUGUUAACGUAAAUAGAAUGGCGUUAAACUUUAACCGAGUGCUUUUUAACGAAAACAUAGUGAAUAUACAUCAGAGCUACACAAACAGUGGACGUUUACGCGAAUCUAGACAUAAAUAAUACCAGUAGCUUCCAGUACAGAUUAUAGGAUAUGAAAAUAUUUCCGCACAUCACGACCAACUGAUUCAGUUGACAUAGCAAUAAAACCAGAUAAAUAGUCCAUAUAUAGAAAACCCAAAUUAUGAAGCGAGUCAAUAGAAUGUACAGACCUUACAUUGUUCUCGUACUUACAAUAUACCUAUUAAUGUAUUCAGAUGAACUCAUUUGAUUAAUAAAGCUGGACAUCAAAAGACAUAUAUUAGUAGACCUGCAAUACUCCAAGGAUUGUUUCGUAGCCCUGUGCAACACAAUCCGAGAGAAUAGAAUAAUAAAUCCCUGUAAUAUAAAGUAAACAUAUUCAAGUCAGUGUGGGUAAUUUAAAAUGGUGGACACACAGAUUC